GCCUGGCUGGCUCAGUCAGUAGAGCAUGAGACUCUUGAUCUUGGGGUCCUGAGUUCAAGCCCCACAUUGGGCG
rnacentral:tRNA from 1 species